rnacentral:rRNA from 1 species
CACGUAGGGGGCGAGCGUUGUCCGGAUUUAUUGGGCGUAAAGAGCUCGUAGGCGGCUCGGUAAGUCGGGUGUGAAAACUCUAGGCUCAACCUAGAGACGCCACCUGAUACUGCUGUGGCUAGAGUCCGGUAGGGGAGCAUGGAAUUCCUGGUGUAGCGGUGAAAUGCGCAGAUAUCAGGAGGAACACCAGUGGCGAAGGCGGUGCUCUGGGCUGGUACUGACGCUGAGGAGCGGAAAGCAUGGGGAGCGAACAGG